rnacentral:rRNA from 1 species
UACGUAGGGGGCGAGCGUUGUCCGGAUUUAUUGGGCGUAAAGAGCUCGUAGGCGGCUUAGCAAGUCGGGUGUGAAAACUCCAGGCUCAACCUGGAGACGCCACUCGAGACUGCUAUGGCUAGAGUCCGGUAGGGGACCACGGAAUUCCUGGUGUAGCGGUGAAAUGCGCAGAUAUCUGGAGGAACACCGGUGGCGAAGGCGGCAUCCUGGACCGGUAUUGACGCUGAGGCGCGAAAGCCAGGGGAGCAAACGGG